CCUAAAUUAGAAAGAAAAACAAAGAAAAAAUUUUCUCAUCCUUUGGUUCAUCCUUGGCCAAAAAUUUUAAGGAGGAAAGAAGAAGAAAGGUGAAGAGAUUCGACCAUGCAUGUAGCUAGGCUAAGGUAUGUUUGAUGAUGUUCCAUGAGAUGCAUGCAUGUUUUAGUUGUUAGCUUGAGUUCUACCUAGCCCAUGGUCUAAAUAUUGCUAUGUGAUGGAAUUGGCACUUGACCAUGGAUGCAUCAUUCUUGGUUGGUGUUUGAUGUUGUGGUGAUGAGGCAUGAGGAUGAGUUAAGAUUCGGCCUAGGUGGAGGUUGUGCUAAUGCCAUUGCAUGCAAAAUAUGAAGCUUGUUAAUGAUGCAUGUGAUGAUGGCUUGAUGAUUCUUGAACCUCCUUUUUAGCAUUUUUGUGUGAGCACAUAUGUGCAUUGGUUGCUAAAUGGAGAAGAAUCGGCUAGCAAGAUGUGUGCUAAGGCCGAAUGUAACUUUGCAUGUUAAUGAGCAAUGCAUGUGUUAAAUUGAUGAAAAGGGGGAGGAUGCUUUACUAGUGUGUUUAUGUGUGUAUUAAGUGUUGAAAUCGACCCCAAAAAUAGACAUGCAUAUUCGGCCAAGGGGAAAGAAAUUAGCUAAUAUGUUGUGUUGAUGCAUGAUUUUUGCAUGUACUAAUUGGCCUGUACUAAUUGGCCUGUAACAUGGGAGACUUUGACUAAUAAACUGUACUAAUUGGCCUGACCAAAAAUUCUAGAAAAAAAUACAUAGGUGGGGACAUGAGUCUAGUUUCAGGGAAAAAUCACAAAACUGAUUUUCGAGUUGUGAAACUCAAGAUAUGAUUUUUGAAGCGACUAGUACUCAGACUGGGCAGUGUCUGGAAAAUUUUUUCAAAGUUUGUUAACAUCUCGUGUCCGACUCCGGUGUCGGUCUCGGGUUCGGGGUGUUACAUUAAAUUGGUAUCAGAGCUACGGUUUAGUCGAUUCUAGGACUACCGUAAUGUGUUGGGUCUAGCUAUACAUGCCAUUUUAUGUGAUUACUUGAUAGUGUGGUGAUUUCUGAAAAUUGUAAAUGUGUUUAUAGUAAUGGAUCCCGAUCGUGACCGAGAGGUAGCUGAUGAUCUUGAGAGUGUAGCGCCUGCUCCCGCACAAGGGACAGUGCCGGCAGACUCUCAACCUAAUGCUAGUAAUCCGAAUGAUGAAGCUAGACAAGCAUUCUAUAGCGUGAUGAAUGAUUGGUUCAACCAAUACAUUCGAACUAAUAUGGCUGUUCCACAACCUCCAUUCCCGACAAAUACUACCCCCGCACCUACAAUACCACCGGUAACGGACCAAAUAAGGUCAAAUAAGCCCCCAGUUGACAGAAUUCGAAAACAUGGGGCUACUGAAUUUAAGGCUAUGGAUAGCGAUGAUGCCGAGCAAGCUGAAUUUUGGCUGGACAACACUAUCCGGGUACUCAAUGAGCUAUCUUGUACACCCGAUGAAUGCCUAAAGUGUGCUAUCUCCUUGCUACGUGAUUCUGCCUACUAUUGGUAGAGUACUCUGACUUCUGUUGUGCCCCGAGAGCAAGUAACUUGGGAGUUUUUCCAAACUGAGUUUCGGAAAAAGUAUAUCAGUCAGAGAUUUGUUGAUCAAAAACGGAAGGAAUUUCUUGAGCUUAAGCAAGGCUCCAUGUUGGUUACUGAUUACGAGCAAAAAUUUGUUAGACUUAGCAAAUACGCUCGGGAAUGUGUUUCGUCCGAAGCUAUUAUGUGUAAACACUUCGAGGAUGGGCUGAAUGAAGAUAUAAAAAUGUUCGUUGGCGUUCUUGAAAUACGAGAGUUCGUGGUACUUGUUGAACGAGCUUGUAAAGCUGAAGAGCUUAGAAAAGAAAAGCAAAGAGUUGAUGAGGGAACUGGAGAGUUUCGUAAAAGAUCCUUGGGAAGGUCUCUUCAACAGACAUCGAAGAGAUUUCGAGAUGAUGCGGGCCAGUUUAGAGGCACUUCGGGCCUUUUUAGACGAGAUCGUGAUCGACCCCCUGUGGGUACACGAGGCACUUCGGUCGCCAGUGUUGGGAAUGAACGUCGAGAUAGAACGAAAUGUCGAUAUUGCGGUAAAUGGCAUUCGGGGAGUUGUAGAUUCCCUGACCGCUCCUGUUACAAGUGCGGAUCAGUUGACCACUUCAUUAAAGAUUGCCCGAGGUUGUUUGAACAGAAUGAAAAUCAGAGUGGGAAACCGGGUGCUACCACUGCUCGAGGUAGACCAUCUGGAAAUACGGGCAAUGCUAGUGGUGGUCAGAGAGGAUCUAGAGAUGAUAUAACCAGAUCCGAAGCUCGUGUGCCUGCUAGAGCUUAUGCUGUACGUGCCCGCGAGGAUGCUUCUUCGCCUGAUGUUAUUACCGGUACAUUCACUCUCUUUGAUACUAAUGUAAUUGCUUUGAUUGACCCCGGUUCUACUCAUUCUUACAUAUGUGAAACCUUAGCAUCCAGUAAGACUUUACCUAUUGAGUCUACUGAGUUUGUAAUUCGGGUGUCAAAUCCCUUGGGUCAUUACGUGCUUGUCGACAAAGUGUGUAAGAAAUGUCCCCUGGAAAUUCGAGGUUCCUGUUUUCCGGCGGACUUGAUGCUUUUGCCGUUUGAUGAAUUUGAUGUUAUCCUUGGUUUGGAUUGGUUGACCGCGCAUGAUGCGAUUGUGAAUUGCAAGAGCAAGACUAUUGAUUUGAGGUGCGCAAAUAACGAAGUAGUCCGAAUUGAGUCUGCGGACUUGGAGGGGAUGCCAGCUGUAAUAUCAGCAAUGUUGGCACAGAAAUAUGUAAGAAAAGGGUGCGAAGCAUACCUUGCGUAUGUACUUGAUGACAAAGAAUUAGAAAAGAAACCCGAAUCUGUGCCGGUGGUUUGUGAAUACCCGGAUGUUUUUCCGGAAGAAUUGCCGGGUUUACCACCUGUUCGGGAGAUAGAGUUUGGUAUUGAGCUUGCACCUAGGACUACGCCGAUUUCGAUAGCCCCAUAUCGUAUGGCACCAACCGAGUUAAAAGAGUUAAAAGCUCAGUUGCAAGAAUUGACGGAUAGAGGUUUUGCUCGACCAAGCUUCUCACCUUGGGGUGCACCAGUAUUGUUCGUGAAGAAGAAGGACGAAACCAUGAGGUUGUGUAUUGACUAUCGUCAACUGAAUAAAGUGACGAUAAAGAAUAAAUAUCCGUUGCCGCGCAUCGAUGAUUUGUUCGACCAACUGAAGGGAGCCACAGUGUUCUCGAAAAUAGAUUUGAGAUCGGGCUAUUAUCAGUUGCGAAUUCGAGGAAUCGGAGUUUCAAAUUGAUGAUGAUGAUUGUUUGAGGUUCAGAAAUCGUUUGUGUGUUCCAAGGAAUUCGGAACUCAUUUCGAUGAUUCUGAACGAAGCCCAUUGUAGCCAAAUGUCAAUUCACCCGGGGAGUACGAAAAUGUACAACGAUUUGAAACGUCAAUUUUGGUGGCAUGGUAUGAAACGGGACAUCUCCGACUUUGUUUCGAGAUGUUUAAUAUGUCAACAAGUGAAAGCGGAACAUCAAGUGCCUUCAGGAUUACUCCAGCCGAUCAUGAUACCCGAGUGGAAAUGGGAUCGAGUCACAAUGGACUUUGUGUCCGGACUGCCCUUGUCAGCAAGUAAGAAGGAUGCGAUAUGGGUUGUUGUUGAUAGACUGACUAAGUCGGCUCAUUUCAUCCCCGUACGUACGGAUUUUUCAUUGGAUAAACUAGCUGAAUUGUACGUUUAUCAAAUUGUGAGAUUACACGGGGUACCUGUUUCUAUCGUGUCGGAUAGAGAUCCGAGAUUCACCUCACGAUUUUGGAAGAAAUUGCAAGAAGCUCUGGGUACCAAGCUGCAUUUUAGCACUACUUUUCACCCCCAAACCGAUGGUCAAUCCGAGCGGAUAAUUCAGAUACUUGAGGAUAUGUUGAGAUGUUGCAUCCUCGAGUUCAGUAGUUCAUGGGAACGGUAUUUACCUUUGAUUGAAUUCGCUUACAACAAUAGUUUUCAAUCAAGUAUUAAGAUGGCACCUUACGAGGCUUUGUACGGUCGUAAAUGCCGUACACCAUUGUUUUGGACCGAGCUCGGUGAAAGUAAAAUUUUCGGAGUUGAUUUGAUUAAAGAUGCUGAACAGAAAGUAAAGGUAAUCCGUGAAAGUCUGAAGGUAGCCACGGAUCGUCAGAAGUCGUACGCAGAUUUGAAACAAAAAGACAUCGAGUAUCAGGUGGGAGACAAAGUGUUCUUAAGGUUUCACCUUGGAAAAAGAUACUCAGGUUCGGCCGUAAGGGCAAGUUGAGCCCAAGAUUCAUUGGGCCGUACGAAAUCUCCGAACGAGUUGGUCCGGUUGCGUAUAAAUUGAUUUUACCCCCGGAGCUUGAAAAGAUUCAUGACGUCUUUCAUGUUUCGAUGCUUCGACGCUAUCGAUCUGAUCCAUCGCAUAUAAUUAGCCCAUCAGAGGUUGAAAUUCAAGUCGACAUGAGCUAUGAAGAAGAACCGAUGCGUAUCCUAGCUCGUGAAGUGAAGGAGUUGCGAAACAAAAGAGUUCUGCUAGUAAAGGUGUUAUGGCUCAAACACGGGAUCGAGGAAGCUACUUGGGAGACCGAGAGCUCGAUGAAAGAACGAUACCCAAACCUUUUUACCGGUAAGAUUUUCGGGGACGAAAAUUUCUUAAGUGGGGGAGAGUUGUGACAGCCCAAAGUUGACCCUAGUCGGGAAGUGGUUUCGGGACCGCUAAACCGAGUCACCGAAAUGUUUGAAUGUGAUACUUAUUGUCUAGAAUAUGUAAUUAUGAAUGUGUGAAAAUUUCAAGCUUCAAUUUGGUUGAUUUCAUGUGAAUUUAGUCAAUAGGACUUAUGUGAGAAAAUUCUAAAAUGUGAUAGGUCAAUGUGUGAGGACCUAUUAGUGCAUGUGGACAAAGGGGGGACUUGCAUGUCAAAUUCCCCCCUACUAGUAGUGGCCGGCCAUGACAAGCAUGGUAGACCAAGUUUGAUGGCCAAGACAUGUCAUAGACAUGUUUUGUUGGUGCAUCAUGGGUGGAAAAAAAUAAAAUAAUAGGCAUGGAAAUUAAAUAAUGAAAAGGAGUAUGAUGAAUACAAAAAAAAAAAGUGUGUAGUUGAUUCUUUUCCCCCCCAUUGCCGUGAGCAAAAGAAAAGAGAGGAGAAGAUCUUUGUUCAUCCUUUUCUCACCUUCAUUUAGCCUAAAUUAGAAAGAAAAACAAAGAAAAAAUUUUCUCAUCCUUUGGUUCAUCCUUGGCCAAAAAUUUUAAGGAGGAAAGAAGAAGAAAGGUGAAGAGAUUCGUCCAUGCAUGUAGCUAGGCUAAGGUAUGUUUGAUGAUGUUCCAUGAGAUGCAUGCAUGUUUUAGUUGUUAGCUUGAGUUCUACCUAGCCCAUGGUCUAAAUCUUGCUAUGUGAUGGAAUUGGCACUUGACCAUGGAUGCAUCAUUCUUGGUUGGUGUUUGAUGUUGUGGUGAUGAGGCAUGAGGAUGAGUUAAGAUUCGGCCUAGGUGGAGG
rnacentral:lncRNA from 1 species